GACUGGAGUACUGCAGGGGAGACUGGAAUUCCUGGUGUAGCGGUGGAAUGCGCAGAUAUCAGGAGGAACACCGGUGGCGAAGGCGGGUCUCUGGGCAGUAACUGACGCUGAGGAGCGAAAGCGUGGGGAGCGAACAGGAUUAGAUACCCUGGUAGUCCACGCCGUAAACGGUGGGUACUAGGUGUGGGUUUCUUCCUUGGGAUCCGUGCCGUAGCUAACGCAUUAAGUACCCCGCCUGGGGAGUACGGCCGCAAGGCUAAAACUCAAAGAAAUUGACGGGGGCCCGCACAAGCGGCGGAGCAUGUGGAUUAAUUCGAUGCAACGCGAAGAACCUUACCUGGGUUUGACAUGCACAGGACGCUGGUAGAGAUAUCAGUUCCCUUGUGGCCUGUGUGCAGGUGGUGCAUGGCUGUCGUCAGCUCGUGUCGUGAGAUGUUGGGUUAAGUCCCGCAACGAGCGCAACCCUUGUCUCAUGUUGCCAGCACGUAAUGGUGGGGACUCGUGAGAGACUGCCGGGGUCAACUCGGAGGAAGGUGGGGAUGACGUCAAGUCAUCAUGCCCCUUAUGUCCAGGGCUUCACACAUGCUACAAUGGCCGGUACAAAGGGCUGCGAUGCCGUGAGGUGGAGCGAAUCCUUUCAAAGCCGGUCUCAGUUCGGAUCGGGGUCUGCAACUCGACCCCGUGAAGUCGGAGUCGCUAGUAAUCGCAGAUCAGCAACGCUGCGGUGAAUACGUUCCCGGGCCUUGUACACACCGCCCGUCACGUCAUGAAAGUCGGUAACACCCGAAGCCGGUGGCCUAACCC
rnacentral:rRNA from 1 species